rnacentral:rRNA from 1 species
UACAGAGGGGGCAAGCGUUGUUCGGAAUUACUGGGCGUAAAGGGCGCGUAGGCGGCCUUCUAAGUCGAACGUGAAAUCCCCGGGCUCAACCCGGGAACUGCGUCCGAUACUGGAAGGCUUGAAUCCGGGAGAGGGAUGCGGAAUUCCAGGUGUAGCGGUGAAAUGCGUAGAUAUCUGGAGGAACACCGGUGGCGAAGGCGGCAUCCUGGACCGAAAUUGACGCUGAGGCGCGAAAGCCAGGGGAGCAAACGGG